CCUACGGGAGGCAGCAGUGGGGAAUAUUGCUCAAUGGGCGAAACCCUGAUGCAGCGACGCCGCGUGAAGGAAGAAGUAUUUCGGUAUGUAAACUUCUAUCAGCAGGGAAGAAAAUGACGGUACCUGACUAAGAAGCCCCGGCUAACUACGUGACAGUUGCCGCCGCAAUACGUCGGGGGCAAGCGUUAUCCGGAUUUACGGGGUGUAAAGGGGGCGUAGGCGGUUUAGCAAGGCAGAAGUGAAAGCCCGGGGGUCAACUCCGGGACGGCUUUUGAAACUGUUGGACUAGAUUGGAGGAGAGGUAAGUGGAAGGCCUGGUGUAGCGGUGAAAUGCGUAGAUAUCAGGAGGAACACCGGUGGCGAAGGCGGCUUACUGGACUCUAAAUGACGCUGAGGCACGAAAGCGUGGGUAGCAAACAGGAUUAGAUACCCCUGUAGUC
rnacentral:rRNA from 1 species